rnacentral:rRNA from 1 species
AGUGAACGCUGGCGGUAGGCCUAACACAUGCAAGUCGAACGGCAGCACAGUAAGAGCUUGCUCUUACGGGUGGCGAGUGGCGGACGGGUGAGGAAUACAUCGGAAUCUACUUUUUCGUGGGGGAUAACGUAGGGAAACUUACGCUAAUACCGCAUACGACCUACGGGUGAAAGCAGGGGAUCUUCGGACCUUGCGCGAUUGAAUGAGCCGAUGUCGGAUUAGCUAGUUGGCGGGGUAAAGGCCCACCAAGGCGACGAUCCGUAGCUGGUCUGAGAGGAUGAUCAGCCACACUGGAACUGAGACACGGUCCAGACUCCUACGGGAGGCAGCAGUGGGGAAUAUUGGACAAAGGGCGCAAGCCUGAUCCAGCCAUACCGCGUGGGUGAAGAAGGCCUUCGGGUUGUAAAGCCCUUUUGUUGGGAAAGAAAAGCAGCAGGUUAAUACCCCGCUGUUCUGACGGUACCCAAAGAAUAAGCACCGGCUAACCUCGUG